GCCGUUGUAGCUCAGUUGGUAGAGCACUUCCAUGGUAAGGAAGAGGUCAUCGGUUCGAUCCCGAUCAACGGCU
rnacentral:tRNA from 1 species